GUGAGCUCAUCAGCUGCAUUAAAGCCUCAGAGAAGAAGUCUCCUCUCUUCAGUCCUCUGUACAGUGACCUCUGAAGCUGUUAGCCUGCUCCUAAAUCAUGGCUCCUCCAGUUGCUGUGUCGCCCUUGAUUAAGACAGCAAGGUAUUCAGCUUUGAUUGCUGGCAUCAUCUACGGCAAAAGGAGAUAUGAUAACUUGAAGCCUAUCGCAGCUGAGGAGAGGAAGAUCGAGGAAGCGGAGAAGAAGGCUCGGGAGGAGCAGGAGCGCAUUGCCAAGGAGCUAGCAGAAGCAAGCCAAGAAACCAUCCUGAAGUAGACCUGACAUGUCGUGUGAGGAUUUCCAUGUGCAAUUCCCAACCUCUCCCUCCUGUUCCUGGAGCAACAAGGCAAAGUCGUGUCACAACCAGUCAAACCCUCCCAUGUUGUGGAUGCGCGUGUGUCCCCUUUACCAAUACAACACCUCUUGGACUGCAGUGACUUUAGGUUACUAACACAACAUGAAAUGAGGCUCCUGAACUCUGCAUUGUAAUUCUGAAAAACAGCUGCAUUCAUAAAUUAUGUUCAUAUUUGUAAUAAAAGCAGUUCCUUAUAAAUACAGAAGUACAUGAUGUACAUGAACACUGUAGUCUUUGUCUUUACUUACUGACAUGUGACCUUUUGUUCUUCUGUGCUCUCUUGAUUCUGUCACACCUGAUAAUGAAUUGACAGAUAUUAUAUUAAACACAAAGAAGCAACCUUGCCAUCAA